rnacentral:rRNA from 1 species
UACGUAGGUGGCAAGCGUUGUCCGGAAUUAUUGGGCGUAAAGCGCGCGCAGGCGGUCCUUUAAGUCUGAUGUGAAAGCCCACGGCUCAACCGUGGAGGGGCAUUGGAAACUGGGGGACUUGAGUGCAGAAGAGGAAAGCGGAAUUCCACGUGUAGCGGUGAAAUGCGUAGAGAUGUGGAGGAACACCAGUGGCGAAGGCGGCUUUCUGGUCUGUAACUGACGCUGAGGCGCGAAAGCGUGGGGAGCAAACAGG